rnacentral:misc_RNA from 1 species
UCAAACUUGGUCAUUUAGAGGAAGUAAAAGUCGUAACAAGGUUUCCGUAGGUGAACCUGCGGAAGGAUCAUUAACAAAUCCGUUGUGCGCGCAGCGAGUGUACGUGUAUGCGAGCUGUGUCGCCACAUUGACCGGGCUCCCGCGAGGGUGUUCGAUUCCGGUGUGUCCUUGUCGUUGCCGGCUUGGAUGCUCGGAAAAAUAGACGCAGUGUGUAUGUAUGUCUUAUGUAAUGAUUGAAUGUAAACAACUUUUAACAAUGGAUCUCUUGGCUCCUGCAUCGAUGAAGAACGCAGC